UACAGAGACGGCAAGCGUUGUUCGGAUUCAUUGGGCGUAAAGGGUCCGCAGGCGGUCAGCCAAGUCUAGUGUGAAAGCUCGCAGCCUAACUGCGAAAUUGCGCCGGAUACUAGCUGACUUGAGGACUGGAGAGGAGACUGGAAUUGUCGGUGUAGCGGUGAAAUGCGUAGAGAUCGACAAGAACACCGGUGGCGAAGGCGGGUCUCUGGACAGUUCCUGACGCUCAGGGACGAAAGCUAGGGGAGCAAACGGG
rnacentral:rRNA from 1 species